GCCUCGGUGGUGGAAUUGGCAUACACAGCAGGUUGAGGGCCUGUGUCCGUACGGACGUGAGAGUUCGAGUCUCUCCCGAGGCA
rnacentral:tRNA from 3 species